ensembl:misc_RNA Metazoa_SRP Metazoan signal recognition particle RNA
GCCAGGCGUGGUGGUACAUGCCUGUAGUCCCAGCUACUUGGGAGGCUGAGGCAGGAGAAUCGCUUGAACCCGGGAGGUGGAGGCUGCAGUGAGCUGAGAUGGCGCCACUGCACUCUACCCUGGGUGACAGAGUGAGACUCUGUCUCAA